ACCUUACCUGGAUUUGACAUCUCCUGACAUCCCUAGAAAUAGGGCUUCUGUAGCAAUACAGCAGGAAGACAGGUGCUGCAUGGCUGUCGUCAGCUCGUGUGGUGACAUGUUGGGUUAAGUCCCGCAACGAGCGCAACCCUUGUCUUUAGUUGCCAGCAUUCAGUUGGGCACUCUAAAGAGACUGCCGUGGUUAACACGGAGGAAGGUGGGGAUGACGUCAAGUCCUCAUGGCCUUUAUAUCCAGGGCGACACACGUGAUACAAUGGACGGUACAGAGGGACGCCAAGAGGCAACUCGGAGCUAAUCUCAAAAAGCCGUUCUCAGUUCGGAUUGGAGUCUGCAACUCGACUCCAUGAAGUUGGAAUCGCUAGUAAUCGCGGAUCAGCACGCCGCGGUGAAUACGUUCCCGGGCCUUGUACACACCGCCCGUCACACCAUGGGAGNUGACUCAACCAGAAGACGGUCAGGGUAACCGAAAG
rnacentral:rRNA from 1 species